rnacentral:tRNA from 1 species
GCCCGGGUGGCGAAAUUGGUAUACGCAACGGAUUUAAAAUCCGUCGGUCUUAGACCAUGCCGGUUCAAGUCCGGCUCCGGGCACCA